GCGCCCGUAGCUCAGGGGAUAGAGCACCUGGCUUCGAACCAGGGGGUCGCGGGUUCAAAUCCUGCCGGGCGCA
rnacentral:tRNA from 1 species